CACGUAGGGGGCAAGCGUUGUCCGGAUUUAUUGGGCGUAAAGAGCUCGUAGGUGGUUCGGUAAGUCAGGUGUGAAACCUCCAGGCUCAACCUGGAGACGCCACUUGAUACUGCUGUGACUGGAGUCCGGUAGGGGAGCGUGGAAUUCCUGGUGUAGCGGUGAAAUGCGCAGAUAUCAGGAGGAACACCAGCGGCGAAGGCGGUUCUCUGGGACGGUACUGACGCUGAGACGCGAAAGCGUGGGGAGCAAACAGG
rnacentral:rRNA from 1 species